CCCAUAAAACUGCCGUCCCCGUGAGCUUCCCAAACCCUAAAUUUCGUUUUUCCUCAAUCGCCGCUGCUGCUCCCCUACCGUCGCGCCGCCAUGGCCACGGUGCCCUGUUCCACCCACAGAGAUAUCUCCAUGCCGCUCCUCUCGUGUGUCCUAGUUGUGCGACCCGACCCUUUCGUGCCUUGCGUUUGCCCGUCCGCCGUAGUGGAGAGGUGGUCGGAGUCGUGCUGCAGGAGAGGUCAUCGAUGAGGCGCCAGCACGGUGGCGGAGGUGGCCGCUUCUGACGGUGAGCGGCGAUCUCUCCAUUGGAUCCGGCCAGCUGCGGACGACGGGGAGCUGGCGACCUCUCCGUGGGAUCCAGCCAGAGCGCCGGUGCCCAUGCCCGGGCUCCUCCCGCGCGAGCUCGAUGCUGAUGGUGCCGUACAUGCGGGAGUACGUGCCGUGGUACCACGACUGGAUUCAGACCCGGCGCUGCUGGAGGCCACCGUGUCGGAGCCCCUUUCAUAAGAGUUUUGAGGUCCACCGCUCAUGGACCCUCGGCCUUUUAAGUUCUGCACCGCACCCUCUCCUUCUGGUUUGCCUCGAUUUAGUUCUGAGCUGUUGUGAUUGAUUCGUUGGAAUUCCUUUUUGCUUGCUUAUUCGUUAGCAGAGUACACACAAGGAGCACAGGCAGGUUGAUGCAGACAUACACGCAGGGCUGAUAGCUCACAGCUACCACAUCAUUGCAGUUGAACUCAUCGGAGUCCGGAGCUGGUGGUGCUAUAUUGCAGGUAGGUUGCCGCUGCUCCCCAUCACAUUAGGCUUUUGGAAGCCCAUCCUUAAAUUUUGGAUUAAUAAAAAAAUAACAAUCCAAAUUCAGCUUAAAAACCACAUGCUAUUCAGCAGCAAUCCCACAAUAAGUUCAGGUUAUAUGAAAUAUAUGCUUAGAAUCUGCUAGCAAACUAUCAAGUAAUAAACACCAUUAUAGAUUGAACUGGUACAACUUGCUAAUUUUAGCCUAUAUGAAAUCUGAACAUUUCAUCUUGUGGCUUGUGCUGUGGAAAAAUCCAAAAUUUCUGUGUGAGGUUUUGUUAAGCAUGUGAGCCUUGUUGAUAUGGUACUGCAUUGCAAGUGGUGUGUUUUCUGGCAUUUGGGAUGUAUAGGUAAUUUGAUGUCGUCUAUUGAUUGCUGAAACUGGACAUGCCCAAUGUUAUGCGUUUUGCAGAUGUAAGUUAAGUUUCAUGACGAACAUAAAGCAGAACACUGAUGGGACAACGUCUAACCGCUGGAUUGCUGAAAGCCUGAAACUUACUGAAGCAUCCAUGUUGAUAACUUAUGUGGGGAUAUGUCGGGAGUAUGUGUUUUUCUGAUCAAGUUUGCAGCAACGAUAUUUGUGUUGUCCUAAAUGUCACCGUAGCAUUAGCACGGGCAAUAUACUAGUGUUAAUAGUUCCCCUUAUUAUUGCCUUCUGACUGAAUUAUAUAUAAUUAAACUGCAAUGAUAUCAAUACAGUCCUGUUCCAAGGCUAACUGUUGCAUUAUUACAUGGCCCACGAAUUCUUUGAUACAAAUACCAAAAACUGAGGUUAAAGAUAUAUCAUUUCCCUUGGUUACAGACGUUCUAUAGAGGGCCAGGUCUGCCCUUUCUUCUGUUCUUUAAACUGUUACAAUGACAUUUUCAGUGCCACACCUACAUGGAAACACAUGUUCAAAGGUCUCAAGAUGGGCCUUUUUCCUCCUUCCUUUCAAAUCUUAGCAUGCCACUUAUACUUGCUUCUGUUUUGUAUACAAUCACUAAUUGGGGUCAAAUCCCUAUGUAAAAGUGUGCAAAAUGCCAAGGGCCAAACAUCAGUGCAUUUUAGCUCCUACAUCAUGGGCGGAUACAGUGGGUAUUCCUGGUAUUCCCAGGAAUACCCAACUUGUUUAUACACUAAAUAUAUAUACUUUUUAUACACUAAAUAUAUAUAGGUAUAUUUAUAUAUAUGUAUAUCUAAUAUAUUAGCAUUUUUAUAUUUACCAAAUAAAAUUUUUCUCUCAUUCUUUUUAGUUUAUUCUUGUAUUCUUUUUUCCAUAUAGGUUCUAUGUUAGCUCGAUUGCCAAAAUUAUUCUAUUAUGUUGUUUCUACAAAUGAAAACCUAAUUAUUUAUCUCCAAACUACAUACAUAUUGACUCAUGCCACCAAAUAUUAGUACAAAUCAUAUUUUAUUUUCAAACUCUUUUCUAAGACAAAUCGGAAUAUGCACAUGGCAACAUCUAUAACAAAGUAUCCUUUUCGUGUGAGUGAACGAGGCAUGAGUAGGAGACAAUUCCAUAAUCCUCAUUCCUAAAUCUCUAACCCUUGCCGACCAGGCAUGAUGUAGUGGCGGCACUGCUGGUUUCCAGUGUCGUGAGCUCCUAGUGGUGCGAAGCGUGUAGCACGGACGCGGCCUCUGUCUCUAUGUUAUGCCUACAUGGCGAUCGGUGAAGACAUACGUCGGUCAUGAGGUUAGAGGCAACAACUGAGUGGUGGCCCACCAGACACUAGGAAUACCCAAGAUUUAAAUCCUGGCUCCGCCACUGUCCUACAUGCUGGCUUUGUCUAUGACUCGGUUUGGUCAUUGUUCUGUGCGCAUGUUAGAAAUGGGUUUGUAUUUUGCAUUCCUUUAUUAUGUGAAUUGUGUUGUUCUCUAACUAUGUUUUCAUUCACUCAGUCAGAUCAAAUGGAAUGACUGUACUUACGUUGUUGUUGUGUUUUGCUGCAGGGUGACAAAUGAAAAUAGUGCAGUUUGGAGGAUGGACAAUCGUGUUUUCAGUAGCAAGAAAGCUGCUGCAGAGCCUGAAUCGUGUAGCAUUACAAGACUUUGUAUUUGGUUAGUAGAAACGUGAGUUGUGAUUAACGUGAGACUUUGUAUCUGAUUACUGAAACAAGUUGUCAUUACGACACUUGAUCCAUUAUAUUGUUUGGUGUAUUUGAUUACUAGAAUGGAAUAAAAACAUGAUUUAUUUGCAUGUGAUGCUUUUUAUGUUAUUACGAGAUUUUUAAAAAUCAGCAAGAAUGUUGUUAGCAU
rnacentral:lncRNA from 1 species